rnacentral:rRNA from 1 species
GAGUAACACGUGGGUAACCUGCCCAUCAGAGGGGGAUAACACUUGGAAACAGGUGCUAAUACCGCAUAAUAGUCGACACCGCAUGGUGUUGGUUUGAAAGACGCUUUCGGGUGUCACUGAUGGAUGGACCCGCGGUGCAUUAGCUAGUUGGUGAGGUAACGGCUCACCAAGGCGAUGAUGCAUAGCCGACCUGAGAGGGUGAUCGGCCACACUGGGACUGAGACACGGCCCAGACUCCUACGGGAGGCAGCAGUAGGGAAUCUUCGGCAAUGGACGAAAGUCUGACCGAGCAACGCCGCGUGAGUGAAGAAGGUUUUCGGAUCGUAAAACUCUGUUGUUAGAGAAGAACAAGUAGGAGAGUAACUGCUCUUACCUUGACGGUAUCUAACCAGAAAGCCACGGCUAACUACGUGCCAGCAGCCGCGGUAAUACGUAGGUGGCAAGCGUUGUCCGGAUUUAUUGGGCGUAAAGCGAGCGCAGGCGGUUUCUUAAGUCUGAUGUGAAAGCCCCCGGCUCAACCGGGGAGGGUCAUUGGAAACUGGGAGACUUGAGUGCAGAAGAGGAGAGUGGAAUUCCAUGUGUAGCGGUGAAAUGCGUARAUAUAUGGAGGAACACCAGUGGCGAAGGCGACUCUCUGGUCUGUAACUGACGCUGARGCUCGAAAGCGUGGGGAGCAAACAGGAUUARAUACCCUGGUAGUCCACGCCGUAAACGAUGA